UUGAUCAAAGGUUAAUGACAUUUUUGUAAAGAAGACACCCUGGGAGUUUUAACUAGCUAUAUAAACCCCUGAAAGAAGCACUUAGUAAAUCCAAGGUAGUCUUCAAGUGGGCGCUGAGGGCACUGAAGAGUUCCAGAGAGACCCUGAAGUCAACAGUGUUAUCUUAAGAAUAUACAGUAUGGAUCACAACAAAAGAGUUUGGCAAUGCGUACUGGUAUGCAUCGGUAUAUUAUAUCCUUUCAUUGUGAGUUCAAUGAACAUAAACGGAACUCAAAGUUUAAAUGGAAUGACAAUUGUGGGACAAAAACAAGAGGACGUAAAUAUAUCAGGUGGAAUUGAAAAUGAAAGCGGAAAUAAAACUGGUGAAAUUGAAAAGAAAAAUGCUUCUAUCUUCGUAAAAAAGGAACAACUGAUCCUGGAAAAUGCAUCAAAAAGCGCAUAUCUCGAUAUAAACCAAAUUGAACGAAAUGUUUUAACUUGGCUGCCAUCUGUUUUGGGAGUAAUAAUGACGGGAAUAAUAUUUUCACUGUUAAUGCUGAUCUUACUUGUAAAAAAACAUCGCAAUAAAAUACUUCUUCCUGAAGACAAAAAUUUGCUUCCGCAACAUUAAACAGCAUUAAACGUUUUACUGGAUACAUUCAAGACGAUUACAACGAACUGCAUUACGUUUUAUAGUGUAGUCUGGGGAACACGGUCGGUACUUGUAAAAUGUGGAACACUUUCAUACAGAAACAAUUACAUGAGCUUGUUAUUAACGUUUUUAAAAGAAUUAUUGUUAGUUGUCUAUUUUUGCCAUAAGCAAUAAAUAUGGUAUGAUUGAAGAAAAGGUAUUGUACCAAAUAAAUACAUAGUUACAUCGACUGUCGUAAGGAAGUGCAUCUAUAAAUACAUGGUUGGUAGGCAUUUUGUAAGGUUUUGCUUUUACUUAAAUCCAAGAACACACUAUUUAAGUGUGAUAUUUUGCAUCCAUUGGUUUUGAUUUGAUAUAAUAUCGUUUUUUUUAGUUCUUAGUAUACGAAUUAUAUUAUAUAUGCAAGCUUUAGGGAUUAAAAAAUGUAUUGUUCUGUAAUUAUAUACUGUAAAAUACUACUUUGUAUAUCCUUUUGUCUGCAAAUAUUGUUGAUUGACCACUGUUGUUUUAAAUGCAUGGUGUGGACGUUAUCCUCUACAUCUAUCAGGGCCAUAACGUGAGCAGUUUUGAUAGAAAAAGGUUUUAAAAAAUGAAACUGUAUUUUGGAUAUUUUAGUAUAAUACUUGGCUUUAACAUGAACAGUGAUACAUGUAUAGACAUUUUGAUUUUGCAUUUAAAUGCGAUCUUAAGAUAACUCCCUCCCCCAGAGAUAGUUGUAUCAGUAGAUAAUAACAAACAAAUAAAAACAAAAUGGUGUAAAUAUAUAC